rnacentral:rRNA from 1 species
UACGUAGGGCGCAAGCGUUAUCCGGAAUUAUUGGGCGUAAAGAGCUCGUAGGCGGUUUGUCGCGUCUGCCGUGAAAGUCCGGGGCUCAACUCCGGAUCUGCGGUGGGUACGGGCAGACUAGAGUGAUGUAGGGGAGACUGGAAUUCCUGGUGUAGCGGUGGAAUGCGCAGAUAUCAGGAGGAACACCGAUGGCGAAGGCAGAUCUCUGGGCCGUAACUGACGCUGAGGAAGCGGAAAGCAUGGGGAGCGAACAGG